UACGUAGGGUGCGAGCGUUGUCCGGAAUUAUUGGGCGUAAAGGGCUCGUAGGCGGUCUGUUACGUCGGGAGUGAAAACUCGGGGCUCAACCCCGAGCCUGCUUCCGAUACGGGCAGACUAGAGGUAUGCAGGGGAGAAUGGAAUUCCUGGUGUAGCGGUGAAAUGCGCAGAUAUCAGGAGGAACACCGGUGGCGAAGGCGGUUCUCUGGGCAUGUCCUGACGCUGAGGAGCGAAAGUGUGGGGAGCGAACAGG
rnacentral:rRNA from 1 species